CCUCCAAAGAGAGAUCGAGUAAGAGAGAGAGAGAGAGAGAGAGAGAAAGAGAGAGAGAUAGGCAGUGUAGUGCUGACAAUUAUUUGGUUGAACUCUCUCUUGGAUACUUCACGGUCAGUUUGCAGUUCGACGCCAUGGGUUGGUUUCAGUGACGGCCAGUGAGGAAGUUACAGUCUUUGUUCCACAACGACUCGUACUUUAACAGUCUCGCUGUCUCCAUGUGGUCCUUACGGAUUGAUUUCAGCUAAGUAUCUAUCUUGCCUAGAACCUGCGUGUUGGAAUGUGGUUUACUACAGUAAGAAAAAUACAGUAAAACAAAGUUUCCCGUUGCUGUUGUGUAUCUAGUUCAUCACAAACUGUUUUAGCAAGGCUUUUAAGGUGCCCUUGAUCUGAGAGGUUUAAAAUGGCGGAUUGAAAGAUUUGGAGUAAUUGUGUGAUUAGUUCGUGAAAUACAACUUUUCCAUCUGUUACAAAAGUGAGGCUUUCCUAAUUUUAGGUUUUGAAGUGUAUUCAUGAUUAAGAAAGAGUCUAGUUGUGCACCAUCCUGUGAUUACCAAUAAAAUUGACCCUGAUUGGCAGUGUAAAUAAAUUAAAUUUUUUGAUUUUUAAGACUCAAAGAUAUAAGACAUUGAGAUUUGUCUUUAUAGUUCUAAUUUGAAUUGUACUGUAUAUCAAAUUGUUAACGAAUAUAAAGGAAAUUGACCGUGAUUAUAUUUUGAAAUUUCAUCCUGUGGCGUUCAGUGUUCUGAUGGCUGAGAGGUCAAAAGUCUGGUUUUACGCAGCUCUCUCACCUAGUCUUGGCAGUUGGGCGUUUGUGUGAAACUGACUAGAUCCUACAUAAGCGUUGGUAAAGAAAUAAAAAAAGUGAUUGGUAACCUGGGUAGUCCCUUGUCCAAUAUAGCAUUAAUAUAAGAAUUAAUUUGGAAUCUCGAUUAAAAGGCUACCCUGCAGUAAGGAGUGGUUUUGGAAAUGGGAAACUGAGUUUGAUAAUAAGGUUUGCUUUGGUUGGAUGUUUGGUGAUAAGUGACCCGAGGUUAGAUGAAUAAUUAUAAUGGAGUUAGUGUAAAUGUAAAUUUGCACUGCAAAUGUAAUAUUUGGAUGAAGGGUAAAAGUUAAGGUUGGGGUUUUUUUUUAUGGACAACACGUAAUGCAUUCAAAGUUAACGCUAGUUUUAAAUUUCCUAAUUACAAUCCAGGACUACAGCAAUUAACGGGAAUGUUAAUUACACUGAUUAUUGAGGAAAAGACGUUGAAACCGUAUUUAGGAUAUUUAGGAAAUAUAGGACAUAUAAAAUGUGCUUCCAAGCAGGUGGGUGAUACUGGCAAGAAACAAAAAGGAAACUACCGGUUUACGUUAUGUUUUUACGGAUGGGAUGAGCUACUACACCUAACAAACGAGCGGUGAAGAUGACCUAACCACUUUGUAUUAAGUUUAAAAAGAUCAAAGUAAAGUUGUCUGAAUAAAUGUGUUGAAAUGCUUAAUGCAAUAAUGUGCAUGGAGUUAUGUCCGUUUAAAUGAGACAUUACUUUUUAUUGAAAACCUUAUAUUUUGUGAUAUUUUCCACGCAAUAUAGAUGAUCCAAACAGGUUACAGGAAUCCAGAGUAGUUCUUUUAUAAAGAAUUAUGCUAGAAAAAAAAAUUAAGUUUGUCUGGCCCUGGAAUAUGUAAGUUAGCAUUAUUGAGUUAAGAAUGCGGUCUAGGCUGUAUAUCGCUCCUGCACAGUAUUGUCAAUUGAUGACAUGAGAGCAAUACAUAAUUCAUAUGCAUUUCAGGGUUGUCUAAUUGAUUUUCGUCGAUAAAAUCUUAAAUCAUCGGAUAUAGAUCGUAUUUGGGAUAUAGAUUCGAAGCCACAAAAUAAUUGGCAAAAAUAUGCAGUUUUCGCCAAUGUUGAUAAUUACGGCACUUAGAGUAAAUCAAAGAGACUUAGAGGGAAACUUGGCUAAAUCUAGCAGCCUCUUAGAGGCUGAUAAAACUUCAUUACUGAAGGCCUUCCCACUCAUUGGCUUUGUAGUACGACGUACGUGAAUGGACGCAAGCCCAUAUACUUUGAAUGAAGACUCGGAUGUUGGUAGUAGUGGUAAUAGUAGUGUAUGGAAUUCGUAUUUUGUUUCACAAACACCUAAGUAGUGUACAAUAAGGGAAUGGGCAUCAAAUGAGAAUAUUAAUGGUAUAAUACAGUUCCAUGGCGCAAUUCACGUUUUCUUUUAAAAUAUUAUGCACAAAGUCUUACAUACACUAACUAACCCACAAUGUGAAAACCAUUGUUAUUCUGUAAUUUCAAGGAUACGUAAAGUAUCGUUCAAAUGCCCACGAAAUUUACUAAAUGGCCAUAAUGCCUGUGUGGAUAAAGACCAGUACUUAGCAAAUGAAUAAAAAUGCAUUUUAUAACAUAUUUUGUUUUUCCUAUGCACACGGCCAUGUAGUAUUGAUAAUGAAAUUAUUAAUCAGAUAAUCACAAUAUACAUAAUCAUACAUAUAGAUAUGUUACUCUUAUAAAUGCACAUACUUAACAUAGAAUAAAUUAUAUACACAUUAUGUAUGUAUGUAGAAUAAGCGAGUUGUUAAAAAUGGUCGUUGCAGGGAUUAAGUGGGAUAGUUUAUCAGUCAAGAAAAUUCGGCCAUUGUUUAUUUUUGGUCUGAAAAAUGAGAAAGGCCUUGAAAGAAAGAAAACAUUUGCAUAUCUCUCUUUUUCAUAAUCGUCAUUCGAGUAUUACCCCUGUAAAGGUCACCUUUGUCCCUUUUAUCUAAAUCGUUCGGAGCUUGUGUAUUGCCUUAUUAACCACUUAACUGGUGAUAUCUAGCAUACGACGCAUACGAUUCUUUUCUUUGUUGCAAAAACACGGAACACGAAAGCAGUCUUGUGGCCACGAGGACAAUUUACUAGGCUUGCCAUAGGUGAAGCAGCCAUCACGCAUAACCUGGGGUUGAACUAUGAAUGAUCAACUGCCCUCACCCUCUCGUCGGCUAUGUUUACUAUAAUUCAAGGUUACCAGGUUUAUCGGGCCAAAAUAUCGUACCAAACACCUCUAAAUGAUUGUAUUUUCAUUUCAAUAUGAUUGUAUUUCACCAGUUCCAAAGUUUUUGUACAACUAAUUGUCAAAGGGUAAAUAGAAAUUGCGUUAAAAUUGCUAUGUAUUCCUAUAGUCAACUUAACACUUUACAAUGAAAAUAGUAAUAUUGCCAUAUGUAUAUUUACAAAAUUAAUUUGUUAUAAUAUUGUCACAUGUAUAUGUACCAAAUUCUUAUUAAUUAUCCGUGGUAUCACCAAUGGAAACCGAAAUAUUAUCAUCAUUCUCAACAAGAUUUGGUUAGCCUUUUAAUACUUGUCGUACAAAAGGGUCAAAUAUUUGCGUACAUACUAAAUGUAGCUAAGUUUCCCUUUAAACUUCUUUUGAUUUACCCUAAUAAGUGCCUUAAUUAUCAACAAUAGACAUCACUGCAUAUGUGUCAAUGAGGCUGUGACUUCAAAUAGCGAUUUCCCAAAUACGAUCCAUAUCCGAUGCUUUGGUAAAAUCUUAUCGACGAAAAUCAAUUAGACCGGUCCUGAAAUGCACAUUAAUUUAGUACCACUAAAAACCUGGGGAUGGGGAUUAGGGACAAAAACACAGAACAUAAUAACACACAAAAGUCCGUUCCCUCUGCUGGUCCAGAGAGGGAACACGAAUCCGCUGACUAUGAAACCCCAAAGCAGUUGAACAAGUAUAUAAUACUGUAUCUAAUAUCGUUAAGAAAGUGAUCAUCAAGUUUUUGCUGUUGAUGAUAAGGGGUUUGAGUGUAAAAUGUGCUACCAAAGGCAUACCUCUUACCACAGGUAUGGGGUAGCGUCAUCCUUAAGCCUUUGAAAGUAUGUGUUAAUUUGAAAAGGGUCAACACCUUAAUAUUGUUUGUGGAUCAAUAGUUUUCGUGACUAUGGGAUUCAACAUAAGCGAUAAUCAAAAUUGGACAGGUAGACGGUUAUGCAAUUCACAGCGCAUUGUCGUUGCUGUAACCUCACAUCACCAAUAAAACCGCCAAAUAAUACAAACUGAAAAAAAACAUUCGCUAGUUACGUCUAUUAGAGUACCACUUACCCAGAAACUCUUUCUCCGUUCAAUUUUUUGUCUUUACCUCUGUGCUAUGAAUAAUAAUUUUCUUCUGUUUCUUUCUUUCCAUCUUUUUACUGAAUAUGGAUUUGUUACAUUGGUGAAAGUAUCUGAAUCUUUCAUUUUGUAUUAGUAUUUGAAAAAAAAAAAUGAUGUAUAGCCAUAAUUUGCAAGUGUCUAAAACCUGGCAUUGGGUAGUCAUCACCCAUAACACCCACCUCCACUGUGGAUAUUGGGCCAGUCACGCAAUACAACUAAAUAUAACAGAUCUAUGAAUGUUUAAAUAUAGAGGAUGUACCAGUAGUAGUCUGUGGUUGCUACCUCAAUAACGUAAAGUCCUGUCCACACGACCGGGCCUGAUCAGCGGACCUCCCCUCUAACGGGCACACUUGAGGGGCAAACCAUCAAAUUGCCCGAUGGGUCUUGUAGCAAAAUCACCAUGGUGGUGCCCGAUGGCUUGAGCUUCGACCCUGAGCCACUCAUUGCACCAAAUUCUCUUCUUUUUUCUUGCUAUAUCUCCUUUGCGGUAGGCACUAUGUUUAUUGUACCGCACUGAAAACACUGCUGGCAUCGUCGGGCACGCCCACCUCUCCAUCGCCUCACCCGUGUGGACAACAUUCACCCGUAAGCCCGCUAGAAUUUGCCCGUCAACACCGGAGCACGCCGAUCAGGCCUGCUCGUGUGGACAGGCCUUAAGGGAACUGGAAAUUUUACUAACCUGCUGAUGUAAAUGGUAGUUUUUUUUUUUUUCCUUUUUUUUUAAAGAGGCAGCUUGCAGAUUAUAGAACACCACUGUAAACACUGUUGCUGAAAUGUUUUGUAUCGAUCUCGUGGACAGUCAUGUCUGUUGAUAAGAUACGAUAACCUAUAGGAAAUACUCAUUCAUGAAUACCGACUUCUUAAGUACUUCUAUUCUAAUAUUUAUUUUACAUAUUUCCUUAAAUGCACAUUUUACACUCAACCCCUAUCGUCAACAACAAAAACUUUACGAUCACUUUCUUAACGCUAUUAGAAUAUGGAGAAUUUCCUCUAUGCCCAAGAAAAAUACCUGCUUCCCACUCCUUCCAUUCCAGUAUUCCCUUACGGUGCGACAUCUGUUGGGUUCCAUUAGUUACUUGUUCAACUGCUUCGGUGUUUCAUAGUCAGCGGAUUCGUGUCUGCUCUCUGAAUGGCCAAGGGAACUGACUUUAGUGCACGAUAGUACAUACACUUUUUUACCAUGUCAUAUACUUUUGUUUUGCUAUAUUUCUAUUAUUAAGUAUCUUCAAGAUCGUGCGAAUUGCUUUUCCUUUGAUACUACUGCCACAGUCAAACUUUUCUGAGAAGGGCCAAAGCUUCCAGGGCAGAGUACCUUCUCAUGUUGCUUUGCCGAAUUUACCUCGCAGUCACACUUACAAGUUCCUCUGAAGGCAGAUUAACGAUUAAUAUCAGGUCAGAAGAGCUUUCAUUGCGCUAGCUACGAUUCUCAUAUUUUGUCGACUAUUUCACGCACAGGUAGAUAAACCGAGUGCCCUUUGAACUGUUCAUCGUCCCAGAAAUAACCCAGACAGUAACGUUAAUGGUUGUAGUUAAGAAAGGUGCACAGUCAGCUACCACUGUUCCAUUGUAUUAGAGUCCCUGGAGACCUAGGGUCGAACUGAGUGUCAAAAACACAGAGACAGCCGUGUGUAUUCCUCGCUGAUAUACUUGAUAGUCUGUCAUUUUGUCUGUGUGAAGUUACUUUUACCUACAGUAAGUAAAAUCUUUCACUAGUGCUGGUUUUACAGUCAGUCAAUUUAUUUGUGAGAGGAAGGCAGUAUCCCUAACCGAGGUGAUUUAUUCUGAGUUCUUAUGCAUUUUCAUGAUUCUAGUUGGGACAUUUCUUAAAUAAAUAUGCUAAUGCAUAUUGCCGUCCCAAUUCCCCUUACGUAAAUGACUAAGUUGGUCCUUAAACAAUUAAACACAUCACCAGUGAUUUAUUAAUACCAGCAAUGAUCAUUAAUGAUAUGUUCUAAUGCGAUUAAUUAAAAUUACAGUUUAGUGAAACGGAAAGCUUGUUGUGGUAUCGGAAUGGUUGAAUUACAGUAGAUCUGUUUUAGAGCAUGAAAAUCCCCAAACGUAAUCCGUUUUGACCAUCAUGAAUGUAAUUUAUCCAAAGUCAAUGAACUGAGCUUAUCCAGGUAUUGCUCGUGACUAGUAUAGCGUGUUGAAAUAUUUUGAUUUAUGCUUUCAUGUAAACUCUGCGACCUACUUGUGUAUAACGCUCCGUAGAGUGUACUUUAGUCUGAGUGAAUUUGGCCUUAAACAACAUUUGUAGCUUAAUGUUUGUGAAUAAAAAAUGUCACGGUGUAUGUAAAAACUGAUACGCGCACUAACACACACACAUGA